GCCGGCGGCCAUAGCACCUGGGAUUCAGACCAGGAAAACAUCUGAAGCGAAGCAGGUUUGGGCCUGGCCAGUACUUGGAUUGGACACCAAAUUGGGAAAGCUGGUUUGCUGCUGGAG
rnacentral:rRNA from 1 species